AUUUGAGUAGUUUAUAAGAAAAUAUUGAUUUGUGGGGUCAAUGAUGUAGAAGAUACCUCAGAUU
rnacentral:tRNA from 1 species